CUGUUCUGCGGUAUAAUGACUAAAAUAUUUGACACUAGGGCUUCUUUUGUCUGAAAAGCCUUUUCGAGUGUCCCUCUGGGUCAGAAAGACUGGUACCAGCACAGUGUUGUUUCUGUUGACAAUGAUAAAGGCCAUGUGAGAACCAGUAUGUGAAAUGCACAGUGUGGCUCUUAGGUGGGUGUGAUGUAAAAAAUAAGGAGAACUACUGAUACAGAUACUGCUUUAGAUUCUUUUGAUCUCCUCUACAAUUCCUGGUUUUGGGGAUUUAACAGGUUGAUGAGACAUUUUGAUUUCUGGUUACAUGUGUAGCAU